rnacentral:rRNA from 1 species
GAUGAAACGCUAGCUACAGGCUUUAACACAUGCAAGUCGAGGGGCAGCGGGGAGGAUGCUUGCAUUCUCCGCCGGCGACCGGCGCACGGGUGCGUAAACGCGUAUCGAAACCUAACCUCAUACUCGGGCAUAGCCUUGCGAAAGUAAGAUUAAAUUCCCGAUGUUCUGUCAAUUUCGCAUGAGAUUGGCAGCAAAAGUUUUUCGGUAUGAGAUGGCGAUGCGU